UACGGGGGGGGCAAGCGUUGUUCGGAAUUACUGGGCGUAAAGGGCUCGUAGGCGGCCAACUAAGUCGGACGUGAAAUCCCCAGGCUCAACCUGGGAACUGCGUCCGAUACUGGAUGGCUUGAAUCCGGGAGAGGGAUGCAGAAUUCCAGGUGUAGCGGUGAAAUGCGUAGAUAUCGGGAGGAAUACCAGUGGCGAAGGCGCUGACCUGGACGAAGAUUGACGCUGAGGUGCGAAAGCGCGGGGAGCAAACAGG
rnacentral:rRNA from 1 species